rnacentral:rRNA from 1 species
UCGAGGGGUAGAGAUCUUCGGAUUUUGAGACCGGCGCACGGGUGCGUAACGCGUAUGCAAUCUGCCUUACACUAAGGGAUAGCCCAGAGAAAUUUGGAUUAAUACCUUAUAGUAUAUAUAUAGGGAUUCCUAUUUAUAUUAAAGUUCCAACGGUGUAAGAUGAGCAUGCGUCCCAUUAGCUAGUUGGUGUGGUAACGGCACACCAAGGCAAUGAUGGGUAGGGGUCCUGAGAGGGAGAUCCCCCACACUGGUACUGAGACACGGACCAGACUCCUACGGGAGGCAGCAGUGAGGAAUAUUGGUCAAUGGGCGCAAGCCUGAACCAGCCAUGCCGCGUGCAGGAUGACGCAUCUAUGGUGUGUAAACUGCUUUUGUACGGGAAGAAACCCUGCCACGUGUGGCAGAUUGACGGUACCGUAGAAUAAGGAUCGGCUAACUCCGUGCCAGCAGCCGCGGUAAUACGGAGGAUCCAAGCGUUAUCCGGAAUCAUUGGGUUUAAAGGGUCCGUAGGCGGUUUUAUAAGUCAGUGGUGAAAUCCGGCAGCUCAACUGUCGAACUGCCAUUGAUACUGUAGGACUUGAAUUAUUGUGAAGUAACUAGAAUAUGUAGUGUAGCG